GCUACGGGUGGCAGCAGUGAGGAAUAUUGGUCAAUGGGAGAGAGCCUGAACCAGCCAAGCCGCGUGAGGGAAGACGGCCCUAUGGGUUGUAAACCUCUUUUGUCGGAGAACAAAACCCGGGACGUGUCCCGGACUUCGUGUAUCCGAAGAAAAAGCAUCGGCUCACUCCGUGCCAGCAGCGGCGGUAGUACGGUGGAUGCGAGCGUUGUCCGGUUUUAUUGGGUUUAAAGGGUGGGUAGGCGGUCCGUUUAGUCAGCGGUAAAAUUGCGGGGCUAAACCCCGUCGAGCCGUUGAAACUUGCAGACUUGAGUUGGCGAGAAGUACGCGGAAUGCGCGGUGUAGCGGUGAAAUGCAUAGAUACCGCGCAGAACUCCGAUUGCGAAGGCAGCGGACCGGCGCCAGACUGACGCUGAGGCACGAAAGCGUGGGGAUCGAACAGGAUUAGAUACCCUUGUAGUC
rnacentral:rRNA from 1 species